AAAAAAAGAAAGGUUUGAAAACUACGAAACUACAAAAUAUUGUUAAAAUAAAUAAGAGACCUCAAUCAAUGGAAUGUAUGAGUCAUAAAUCUCAAUACUGUUAAAAUGUUUAUUCUUCCCACAUUGAUCUAUAAGAAUUCCAAUCAAAUCACAGCUGUAUUCCUUAUUUUAGAAACUGAGAAACUAAAAUUCUGAAAUGUAUGUCGAUGGGUAGAGGACCUAUAAAGGCAAAUUACUUUGAAAGGAAACAAUUACUUUGAAACCAGGUGCUGUUGGAGAAUUAACAGCACCUGGUUUCAAGACUUAUCAAGUUACAGUACUUAAGACAAUGUGGUACAAAUAUAGAUAUACACAUGUGUAUCAGCUUUCAGCUAGUUUUUAAUAAAGUUCUUAGAGCAUUCAUAGACAUAACAUUUUCAACAAAUGCUUCUGAAACAAUUAGAUAUCCCAGUGUGUGUGUGUGUGUGUGCAUGUGUGUGUGUGUGUGUGUAGCUCAGUACUUCACACCUGAGAGGCAUGAGCGUGCAUUACCAAGGGGAACUGAGAAACUUUGAGAGUAUUGGAUAUGCUCACUGACCCCUUCAUGGUGAUUGUUUAAUGGGCACAUGUAUACAUCAAAUUCAUCUCAUUAUGCUUUAAAUAUUGGUAGUGUAUUUUAUGUUCAUUCGACAUGAAUAAAGCUGUAAAUGUUAUCAAAAUAUUCACUUACUAUGCUUCUAUUCAUUUUACUCUCUCUCUCCAGAGACCUUCAGAUAGAAAAUGCAGUUCAAAGAUAUUUCAUAAAGGAAGAAAAGAAGUAUGAAGACAGGAUAGCAAAUACAGAAAGAAUUCUUGUGAUAAUAGAGAACACAGAACUGUUGAACGGUGUUGAAGCUGAGCUGGAGAGAGUCACCAAAGCUGGCGCGGAAGCUGGCAAGGUCGGAGAGUUUCCUGCCUGGGCACAGCUUGAGCUCGCCCCUGCGCCACCGCCAGUGGCAGAAACUGCAGACCCAGCUGGGCCCUGAGGCCUCCGCCGCAUCCUCCCACCAGCCAGGAGCUGUGCUGAGGUCGCAGAUAGGCGACCCUGGAGGGGUGCACCUGAGGGAAGGCGGCCCAUGUUCCGGACAGCAGCAGGACACCAGGAUCCAGGGACCCACCUCCCGCCGCGGGAACCCCAAACCUUGCCUGGCGCCCCUUGCUUGCUCCGCCUGGCCUCCAGAGGCCGGUGUGUGUCCUGGUCAUGAGGAUGCACAGCAGGUGCAGGGGAGUCCCCCUCCACCAUGGCCUACCGCUCUGCCAGCCAUCACGCCUGGUUCGUGGACCGCAGCGUGGCUGCCUCUGAUCCCGCCAGGCCGGGACCUGUCCUCCUCCUGGGCGACCAGCCGGGGGAAUGCACACUGCCCGGUGGCCUGCACAGCCCCUGACCACCCAUCCCCUCUCGCCCCUCCGCCCCAGGCCAGGACCUUCCUGUAGCACAGAACUCACCUUCCUUCCCGCCGCAGAGCUGCUCCACUUCCGCCACCCCCAGGGAAAAACUCAGAUCUCCAACCACACAGAAAUCCGCGUGUGACUCCUCUGGUUGGAUACUGCCAGUCCCCACAUUUACUUCCAGGAGUUUUCUUGGCAGAAGGUGUCCCAUGUUUGAUGUUUCGCCAGCAGUGAGUGUGAAAGUGACAGCAAUAGAGAAACACAUCAGGCUUUCCGCAACAAAGAUGACCUUCCCUUCUUCAAACCUCAGCAAUCUCCAAGUUCCACAAAGGACUCAGGACAAGAUGACUGAGCUGGAGUAGUCGGCCCAGGAAAUGCAGGCCCAGAGCGGGUCACCUCCUUAGGGCAGGCCCAGCCUUCUCCUGGCUGCCUGGGUGCCUUUCUCCUCACUCCCACCCAAUGCAGGGGACCCCACAAACUCGGCUCUCGGGGCUCCCUGCACCUCCCUCCACAGGAGCCACCUCCUGCCCGCCAAGCUGGGGCCUUCUGGGGCGUCCUGGGCUGAGAGGGCAAGGUGCCAGCUCUGCACGCUGGAGAAGGAACACCGCUACACUGUCACACUGACACACCG
ensembl:lncRNA